UACGAAGGGGGCUAGCGUUGCUCGGAAUCACUGGGCGUAAAGGGUGCGUAGGCGGGUCUUUAAGUCAGGGGUGAAAUCCUGGAGCUCAACUCCAGAACUGCCUUUGAUACUGAAGAUCUUGAGUAUGGGAGAGGUGAGUGGAACUGCGAGUGUAGAGGUGAAAUUCGUAGAUAUUCGCAAGAACACCAGUGGCGAAGGCGGCUCACUGGCCCCAUAACUGACGCUGAGGCACGAAAGCGUGGGGGAGGCAAACAGGAUUAGAUACCCUGGUAGUCCACGCCGUAAACGAUGAAUGCCGGCCGUUCGUGGGUUUACUUACAAGUGGCGCAGCUAACGCUUUAAGCAUUCCGCCUGGGGAGUACGGUCGCAAGAUUAAAACUC
rnacentral:rRNA from 1 species